AGUGAACGCUGGCGGUAGGCCUAACACAUGCAAGUCGAACGGCAGCACAGUAAGAGCUUGCUCUUACGGGUGGCGAGUGGCGGACGGGUGAGGAAUACAUCGGAAUCUACUUUUUCGUGGGGGAUAACGUAGGGAAACUUACGCUAAUACCGCAUACGACCUACGGGUGAAAGCAGGGGAUCUUCGGACCUUGCGCGAUUGAAUGAGCCGAUGUCGGAUUAGCUAGUUGGCGGGGUAAAGGCCCACCAAGGCGACGAUCUGUAGCUGGUCUGAGAGGAUGAUCAGCCACACUGGAACUGAGACACGGUCCAGACUCCUACGGGAGGCAGCAGUGGGGAAUAUUGGACAAUGGGCGCAAGCCUGAUCCAGCCAUACCGCGUGGGUGAAGAAGGCCUUCGGGUUGUAAAGCCCUUUUGUUGGGAAAGAAAAGCAGCAGGUUAAUACCCCGCUGUUCUGACGGUACCCAAAGAAUAAGCAUCGGCUAACUUCGUG
rnacentral:rRNA from 1 species